GGAGGGUGCAGUGCGUCCUCUGCCUGCGCUCCGCUCGUGCCGGGCAAAUGUGGGAGUGGAGCCUAGGGGAGAGGUGCGUGUAGUGAGCACUAGAUCUCCCGUGCUUAUCCACAGCCCGGUUCAACCUGUGCCUGCGCUCUGGAGGGUCCGGGCUAAAGUAGUUGUCCAGCCUGGGGAAGUGGUGCCAAGGUUGCGCACCAGAGCUCCAGUGCUCCCCCACGGCCCGGUCCUUCAGUUGCCUCCUCUUAACACCAAGCCUCCUGAAGGUCUCCCCAGCCUGGUGGUUCCUGUGGCAGCCCCACGCACCAGGCUGUCUCUCCGUCUCAUCCCUGCAGGUGGUCCCGCCUGUCCGGCGCCGCUGCCGGAGCCUCCCGCCUGUCCGGCGCCGCUGCCGGAGCCUCCCGCCUGUCCGGCGCCACUGCCGGAGCCUCCCGCCUGUCCGGCGCCGCUGCCGGAGCCUCCCGCCUGUCCGGAGCCUCCCGCCUGUCCGGCGCCGCUGCCGGAGCCUCCCGCCUGUCCGGCGCCGCUGCCGGAGCCUCCCGCCUGUCCGGCGCCGCUGCCGGAGCCUCCCGCCUGUCCGGCGCCGCUGCCGGAGCCUCCCGCCUGUCCGGAGCCUCCCGCCUGUCCGGCGCCGCUGCCGGAGCCUCCCGCCUGUCCGGCGCCGCUGCCGGAGUCUCCCGCCUGUCCGGCGCCGCGGCCGGAGUCUCCCGCCUGUCCGGCGCUGCUGCCGGAGUCUCCCGCCUGUCCGGCGCUGCUGCCGGAGUCUGAGGCGCCAGAGCCCCUCAGCCCAGAGGCGCCAGAGCCCCUCAGCCCAGAGGCGCCAGAGCCCCUCAGCCCAGAGGCGCCAGAGCCCCUCAGCCCAGAGGCGCCAGAGCCCCUCAGCCCAGAGGCGCCAGAGCCCCUCAGCCCAGAGGCGCCAGAGCCCCUCAGCCCAGAGGCGCCAGAGCCCCUCAGUCCAGAGGCGCCAGAGCUUCUGCCCCUCUGUCCAGAGCUUCUGCCCCUCUGUCCAGAGCUUCUGCCCCUCUGUCCAGAGCUUCUGCCCCUCUGUCCAGAGCUUCUGCCCCUCUGUCCAGUGGGGUCAUUGAGAGGGGUGGCCAUGGUGAGAAAGCCACGGAGGCGGACAAUAAGGCGGACUAAGACAAUGGUGAAGUGGGGUCCGCGUCCUGCGCCAGAGCCGC
ensembl:lncRNA